rnacentral:rRNA from 1 species
UACGUAGGGUGCAGGCGUUGUCCGGAAUUAUUGGGCGUAAAGAGCUCGUAGGCGGUUUGUCGCGUCUGCUGUGAAAACUCGGGGCUUAACUCCGGGCCUGCAGUGGGUACGGGCAGACUAGAGUGCGGUAGGGGAGACUGGAAUUCAUGGUGUAGCAGUGAAAUGCGUAGAGAUCAUGAGGAAGACCAGUGGCGAAGGCGGGUCUCUGGACAGUUCCUGACACUGAGGCACGAAGGCCAGGGGAGCAAACGGGG